UACGUAGGGUGCGAGCGUUGCCCGGAUUUAUUGGGCGUAAAGGGCGCGUAGGCGGCUCUGCACGUCCGUUGUGAAAUCGCCCGGCUCAACUGGGCGGGGUCAGCGGAUACGGCGGAGCUUGAGCAAGCUAGGGGGCAAUGGAAUUCCCGGUGUAGUGGUGGAAUGCGUAGAUAUCGGGAGGAACACCAGUGGCGAAGGCGGGUCUCUGGACAGUUCCUGACGCUGAGGCACGAAGGCCAGGGGAGCAAACGGG
rnacentral:rRNA from 1 species